GAUGAACGCUGGCGGCGUGCUUAACACAUGCAAGUCGAACGGGAAACCUUUUAUUGAGGCUUUGGCAGAUUUAGCUGGUUUCUAGUGGUGGACGGGUGAGUAACGCGUGGGUAACCUGCCUUAUACAGGGGGAUAACAGUCUGAAAUGGCUGCUAAUACCGCACAAGCUCACAGAGCUGCAUGGCUCAGUGUGAAUAACCCCGGUGGUAUAAGAUGGACCCGCGUUGGAUUAGCUGGUUGGUGGGGUUACGGCCCACCAAGGCGACGAUCCAUAGCCGGCCUGAGAGGGUGAACGGCGACAUUGGGACUGAGACACGGCCCAGACUCCUACGGGAGGCAGGAGUGGGGAAUAUUGCACAAUGGGGGAAACCCUGAUGCAGCGACGCCGCGUGAAGGAAGAAGUAUCUCGGUAUGUAAUCUUCUAUCAGCAGGGAAGAUAAUGACGGUACCUGACUAGGAAGCCCCGGCUAACUACGUG
rnacentral:rRNA from 1 species